rnacentral:rRNA from 1 species
GUAAUGAAAAGGUGGCCUCUGCAUCAAGCUACUGCUCAGGGAUGGGCCCGCGUACCAUUAGCUAGUUGGUAGGGUAAUGGCCUCCAAGGCGACGAUGGUUAGCUGGUCUGAGAGGACGGCCAGCCACACUGGAACUGAGACAGGUCCAGACUCCUACGGGAGGCAGCAGUGGGGAAUCUUGCGCAAUGGGGGAAACCCUGAGCAGCGACGCCGCGUGGGUGAUGAAGGCCUUCGGGUCGUAAAGCCCUGUCAGGUGGGAAAAACAUGUUGAUGUGAAUAACAUCAACAUCUGACGGUACCACCAGAGGAAGCACCGGCUACUCCGUGCCAGCAGCCGCGGUAAUACGGAGGGUGCAAGCGUUGUUCGGAAUCACUGGGGUAAAGCGCGUGUAGGCGGUUGAGCAAGUCAGAUGUGAAAUCCUUCCGCUCAACGGAAGAGUGCAUCUGAAACUACUCAACUAGAGUACGGGAGAGGAGAGUGGAAUUCCCGGUGUAGGGUGAAAUUCGUAGAUAUCGGGAGGAACACCGGUGGCGAAGGCGGCUCUCUGGACCGAUCUGACGCUGAGGCGCGAAAGCGUGGGGAGCAAACAGGAUUAGAUACCCUGGUAGUCCACCCGUAAACGUUGGGCACUAGGUGUGGGAGGUAUUGACCCCUUCCGUGCCGAAGCUAACGAUUAAGUGCCCCGCCUGGGGAGUACGGCCGCAAGGUUAAAACUCAAAUGAAUUGACGGGG